rnacentral:lncRNA from 1 species
GAUGUUUCGUAAAAUGUUUUGACAUCUUUACUUCGAAAAUAAGGCAAAACAAAAUAGUCUUUUGCUUUUAGAAAACACGUUUCUUGACCCAUACAUCUCGUGAAAUAUAUCUUCAGAGGAUCUUCAGAUAUCUCACAAAUAGAAACAAAUCUUUCAAGAAACUGAAACAUGGCACAUUCCAAUGUUUAACCAACAUGCCAAGACAUCUUGUCCAACAUCUUGCUUGAAUACUUGUUUUUCCAAAAUGCAUCCAAUCACUACACACCAAAAC